CCAGACUCCUACGGGAGGCAGCAGUGAGGAAUAUUGGUCAAUGGUCGGGAGACUGAACCAGCCAAGCCGCGUGAGGGAUGAAGGUACAGAGUAUCGUAAACCUCUUUUGUCAGGGAACAAAGGCGGGGACGUGUCCCCGGAUGAGUGUACCUGAAGAAAAAGCAUCGGCUAACUCCGUGCCAGCAGCCGCGGUAAUACGGAGGAUGCGAGCGUUAUCCGGAUUCAUUGGGCGUAAAGCGCGCGUAGGCGGCUGCCUAAGCGGAACCUCUAACCCCGGGGCUCAACCUCGGGCCGGGUUCCGAACUGGGCGGCUCGAGUGCGGUAGAGGAGAGCGGAAUUCCCGGUGUAGCGGUGGAAUGCGCAGAUAUCGGGAAGAACACCGAUGGCGAAGGCAGCUCUCUGGGCCGGCACUGACGCUGAGGCGCGAAAGCUGGGGGAGCGAACAGGAUUAGAUACCCCAGUAU
rnacentral:rRNA from 1 species